AUACGGAGGGUGCAAGCGUUGUCCGGAUUUAUUGGGUUUAAAGGGUGCGUAGGUGGUUUUUUAAGUCAGUGGUGAAAGCCUACAGCUUAACUGUAGAGGUGCCAUUGAAACUGGGGAACUUGAGUAUGGACGAGGUAGGCGGAAUUUGUGGUGUAGCGGUGAAAUGCAUAGAUACCACAAAGAACACCGAUAGCGAAGGCAGCUUACUAGGCCAUAACUGACACUGAGGCACGAAAGUGUGGGGAGCGUACAGGAUUAGAAACCCCAGUAGUCC
rnacentral:rRNA from 1 species